rnacentral:rRNA from 1 species
CGCGUCUUAGCAUGCAAGUCGGGCGGCAAGGUGCAGCAAUGUACCCUAGAGCGGCGGACUGGUGAGUAACGCGUGGGUGACCUACCUUGAGGAUGGGGAUAGCCGUUAGAAAUAGCGGGUAAUACCGAAUAUGUUCACCGGGCUAUGGUCUGGUGAGGAAAGGGGCUUUGGCCUCGCCUUGAGAUGGGCCCGCGUCCUAUUAGGCAGUUGGCGGGGUAAAGGCCCACCAAACCUGGGAUAGGUAGCCGGCCUGAGAGGGCGAACGGCCACACUGGGACUGAGAUACGGCCCAGACUCCUACGGGAGGCAGCAGCUAAGAAUAUUCCGCAAUGGACGAAAGUCUGACGGAGCGACGCCGCGUGGAUGAGGGAGGCCGAAAGGUUGUAAAGUCCUUUUGCGGAUGAAGAAUAAGCGUGGCAGGGAAUGGCCGCGUGAUGACGCAAGUCCGUGAAUAAGCCCCGGCUAAUUACGUGCCAGCAGCCGCGGUAACACGUAAGGGGCGAGCGUUGUUCGGAAUUAUUGGGCGUAAAGGGCGCGUAGGCGGUCUGGUAAGUCUGGCGUGAAAUGGCGUGGCUCAACCGCGUCACUGCGCUGGAAACUGUUGGACUUGGGUCAUGGAGGGGCAGUUGGAAUUCCUGGUGUAGGGGUGAAAUCUGUAGAUAUCAGGAAGAACACCGGUGGCGAAGGCGAACUGCCAGCCAAUGACUGACGCUGAAGCGCGAAAGUGCGGGGAGCAAACAGGAUUAGAUACCCUGGUAGUCCGCACUAUAAACGAUGUGCACUAGGUGUCGGGUCGAGCGAUCGCGCGAGGACCGUAUGACGCUGGAUUCCCAGUGACCAGUAGGCGAGGUAAACUCAAAGGAUUGACGGGGCCCGCACAAGCGGUGGAGCAUGUGGUUAAUUC